rnacentral:rRNA from 1 species
GACGAACGCUGGCGGCGCGCUUAACACAUGCAAGUCGAGCGAUGAAAUUUCGACAGAUCCCUUCGGGGUGAAGAUGAAAUGGAUUAGCGGCGGACGGGUGAGUAACACGUGAGUAACCUGCCUUUGACAUUGGGAUAGCCUCGGGAAACUGGGAUUAAUACCAAAUGACACUAACUGAUCACAUGAUCAAUUAGUCAAAGAAAUUCGGUCAAAGAUGGACUCGCGGCUGAUUAGCUAGUUGGUGAGGUAACGGCCCACCAAGGCGACGAUCAGUAGCCGGGAUGAGAGGGUGAUCGGCGACAUUGGAACGGAGACACGGUCCAAACUCCUACGGGAGGCAGCAGUGGGGAAUAUUGCACAGUGGGGGAAACCCUGAUGCAGCGACGCCGCGUGAGCGAAGAAGGCCUGCGGGUCGUAAAGCUCUUUUAUGAGGGAAGAUAAUGACGGUACCUAAAGAAAAAGCCACGGCUAACUACGUG